GGGGAUUUAGCUCAGUGGUAGAGCGCUUGCCUAGCAAGCGCAAGGCCCUGGAUCCAGUCCUCA
rnacentral:tRNA from 1 species